GUGUUUUAUUAUUUCCUCAGAGUCAUUCCCUGAAAAAUUGAGGGACCCAAAUUGUGUGUGUUACACUAAAAUGGACAAACACUACAACUGAAAACUAAACUACAACUACAGAAAAAUUCUGCAAUAAAUUCUACAUACCAGUUUAAUACACAUAAAACGUCUUACUUGAUCGAAAGAGCACACG